UUAUUACAUUUUCUUUUAUAUAAGAUGAUGAUAAGAUCCAAAGAGUAAGUGCAGCCUAGGGAAGCCGGUCUCUACCACCUGUUUGAUAACGUCAUGACCGUCCUUGUGUCCUAAAUCUGAUCAGAUAUUUUUGGCCUUUCUCCCCAAACCGUUGAAAACCUUCUGAUGGUAGGGACCAUAACUAACAUGUUUCUUGUUUGUUUGGCUGGUGGGGUUUUUUGUUUCUGCAUUCCCCACUGAGCAUGACAGUGGCUUGAUAACUCGCUGCUGAGCAAGCAGGGGGAGGCCUGUUCCUGUCUUGGUGAGCGGAGGAGGAGUGCACGUGUCCCUAAAGGGGACGUAUUUAUUGUAAAAGAAACUAAAAAGAGCAGGAUGACCCUGGGGGAUUUUGGUCAAAGAGCCUGAUGCACUGCUCGAGUGGUUCUCUGUGCCACCCCUCUUUGUAUUUUUUGCUGGUUGCUUGGGCCAGGUCCUUGACACAUCACUGGAUUAGGACCAGAAAACAUCCAGACGUUAGCUAUACUGUGCCUUUAAGAUGCUGGGUGACCUUGAGAAAGUUAGAAAUGAUCGUUUAGCCUCAUUUAUUCUCCCUCCACCCCAAUCCCCAGUAAAAUAAAAAGAUUGGACCAGCUGAUUGCUACUGGCCCUUCUAGUGCUAAGAUCAUAGGAGUCAUGACUGUUCACACAUUAGAGGACACACUGACAGGGCUUCUGGGGGCCCCAUGCUGCCCUGCGGAAAGGAACGGCCUGAAUGAUAAUGGCCUUGUUAAAUGUGGAGGAAAGGAGGAAUAAUAGACAGCACCAGGUGGCAGAGGGCGCAGCCAGGCAACAGAUGUGAAAAGGGAAGUAAAAUAAUGUGCGCAUAAACCGCAGGUGGAAUAGUUCAUGAAGAAAAGAGCAUCUCCACCCAAUUCACUCCAGGUCACCUUGGCAGGAAGGUGCCAUUCACCUGCACAGUUUGUGCAAAGCUCAGUAAUUCCAGAAACCGGGAACAACGUUAUUUCCACCCGAGUCACUGAUUUUGAUGAGGAUCACUGGUAACUAUGUGAGGAAAAAAGCCAGUGAGCAUCUGGUGCAAGGGCUGGGAGGGUGGAGGUGGGAGGAAGGGAAAUCUGGAAAGCAGUUGAAUAAUUACCAGGGAUGGAGAACUGGUUACAGUGUCUGCCCAGUCCGUGUGUACACUCCUCCACUUUGGAGAAGGCCCCUCCCCACACCGCAACUCUCCUGAGACAUGCCCUUCUCCCUCCCCAGCUCUGGUUCCAGAGGGGAGUCUCCAUGGUGGUUGUCAAUGGACACCUGCUCCAAUUUGAACCCAUCAUGGUGUCCCACCCAUCUGGCUCAGUUGAUUGGUCCAGGGAUGAGUCUGUGACCUGAGUCUGGCCAAUUAGUCAAAUUAUUUGGGAUAUUUCAAAUUAGAGCUGGGUAAGAAAAAAUUCCAGAUCUUCUUGUGUGUGUCAAAGCUGGCGGUAGGCCAACCCAUGGCUACUGGAGAAAGUUGAUCUGAGAUAAUGAAGCCCCCAGGCAGGAAAAAGAAGAAUAUUAGGAGUUCUAGGGGCUGCUGAGCAGUCGGUUCCCUACAGCCCUAGGAGAGCUAACAUGUGAGAAAGUAAAAACCCCAUGUGAGGUUCUAGAAGCUUCUCAUCGAAGCCCCCCUUUUCCUUAAGCUAUGUUGCGUUAUUUCUGUUGCGUGUGACUGAGUCCCACCUAAUGCUCCAAAUCUAAUUGGCUUUUUAAAAAUGCAGACCUUCUUAUUUAAUUUCAAAUAAGUUCCUACAAUUAGUAAAAAUCCGUGAUUUGAAAUGCACUUUCUACCAGUUUUGGAGCCAGUCAAAUAAUUUUGGUUAGAAAUAAAUUGAUGUCUAAGAAUUUUCUGCACAUUUGGUCUAGACUUUUGAACAAUGAACCUCUCAGCAGUGAAAUAACACAGUCAGGCAAACGUAUGAGAUGUGGAACAAGGGCAUUAUCUUGCUGUUUGUUUAACAUAGUCAUGUUUUUCAAGUUCACUAUUUAAAGUGAACAUUUGACUCUAAAUGCUCUUGACGUGGCUGCUUCUUCUUUGGCUAAGCCUACCAGAUAAUCUGGGUUUGCCAUUAUGUGACAUAUGUGCAUUAUUUCCCUCCUGUGCCCACACUCAACACAGCUAACUGACCACGGGGUCCUCAUCACCUCAGUCAGAGGCUCUCAAUCUCACCACAGCCUUCCAGGCAGGUCACUGGUUGACCAGAGCUGGUAAAUGAGUGAAAUCUCUUCACCCUCCUUGAACUAGGCAGUUUCAAUUCUGUCUUGCAUUAAGCUCCUCAGUGGAAUGCGUUCAUGCAUUUAUUAAUUCUUGAGUGCCUUCUUUGUGGCAGGCCCUGUUCUAGGUGCGUGGGACGCAGUGGUCAAGAAAACAGCCCCUGCCUCAUGGAGGUCACGUGUACAAGGAAACAAACAGUGAUCCACCCAUUUCCUGUCCCCACAAUCACCCUUGAUGGCUUCUUGUGCAUCCUUCCAGAGAUAUUUUAUGCAUCGAGAGGCCAGGCAAGGGAAGGCAUGUCUCGCAGCCCUCUGGAAACUCUCCUUUGGGUUGUGGCAUCACGGACACCCGCCUAAGCAGCAAUGGGGACCACCAUCCCACGAAGUCUGAAGGAAGGCCUGCACAGUCAAACGUUCCUUCUAUCCACGUGGGAAAUGUUCUCAGAGAGAACCAGCGCUCAUCUCCUCUUUCUCCCAUGCACAAGCAUACCCUUUCCUUCCCCAAUUUAACUCAUGCCUCUCCUUUGACUUCAGAUACCCUAUGUGUUGACAAUUCCUAAAUAUGUAUCUUUAGCUUGGACCUUUCUCCUUAACUCUCGAUUCCCAUGUCUAAUUGCUUCCUAGUGUGCUACCCCUGAAUGCCCUAAACUUGAUAUUCCUAAGACUGACCUCAUUGAUUGUGCCUUAUAAAUCUCUCUGCUGCAUUCCCUCUCUAUAAAGGAUAACCAUCUACUCAGUCACCCAAGCCAGAAAUCUAAAUGUCAUUCUUACUCCUCCUCUCUCUCACCACCCACAUCCAUUUAGUCAUCAAGCCAUAUCAAUUCUCACUGCUUCACAUCUCUUUAUUCUGUCCCCUCCUCCCCAUUCCCUGCCUUAGUUCAGGCCCUUAUCAGCUCUUGUUUGAUGUGUCAUCAUUCAUUCAUUCAUUCAGGUCUAGGGACAUGUUGGUGAAUAAGACAAGGAUGACCCUCCAAGAAGCCAUGGAGAAGCAGACAGGGCCCUUCUGGGCAGUGAUGAGAAGCCUGGAGUUUCUUUUACUCUCUUGGGAGAUUUUGAGCAGGAGAGUGAGAUGUCUUCCUGGGCCUGCUCCUCCAGUCCUUCUUCAGUAUGGCUUCCAGGUUGAUCUUUCUAUAACAAAAAUCUGAUUAUGUCUCUCUGUGCUUUUAAAAACUUUCAAUGGCUCCCAUUUGCCUACAGAAUAACACCCAAAAUCCUUGGGCUGGCCUGCAAGGCCUUUCAUGAUCUUUCCUAUGUUUCUCUCCAUUCUUAUUCCUCCCUGUGCCUCCUUAUCCCCUUUGCUUUGGCCGUGCAAAGUGACUUUCAGAUCCCCCGAUGGCUUCUGCUAUUUCACCGCUGUAUCUUUACUCAUGAUUCGUCUCUUCUGAGCACAGUGUUCCCUACCCCAUCUUCAAACAAAAAUCUACUCAUCUUCCAAGACAAAGAUCAAAUGUCGCCUCAUCUGUGUCGUCUUUCCUGAUCACUGCCCCCAAAUAGAAGAACCAGUCCCUCCUUUGUGCCCUUGGUAUGCACUGGAUGAACUUCUAGUGUAAUCCCAUUAACACUAUGGCACUUCUCAGUUUACAGGCAUCUUCCCUUGUUCACAUAUGACCCUCUCUUACUCAUAUUUGUUCCCAACCACUUAGCAUAGAUCUUGGAAUACUUUGUUGUAUAAAGAGAAUGAGUUUCCCUCCGUUUUGCAUAUUUAGAAUACACAUGACAGUUCUGCCAAAGGAGUAGGAGCCCAGAUGCUUGAAGCUCAGGAAGAAUUUUAAUGAAAAUGUCAGAUGAGACUUACAGCAGAUCUACCUGUCUUGAGCUAUUAGUGUCCCCACCAUUUGCUGCAUCAUCAUGUUGAUCCUCCUUGGUAAGGAUGGAAUGGGGAAAGAGUUUGAGCAGGUAAAAAUAUCUAUGUGGCAGGGGUUGUUUUGAAACCUAUUUACUUGUCAGGCUCCUCUAAGCGUUCUGGACUGUGCACAUCACCACACGUCUCUGCAGUGCGCACACCAUCACACACGGUACCAGGGGGUCCAUCAGCUAGUCCGUGCAGCACCAUUGGACACUGAACUCAUCACUUUCUAAUUUCCUCUAAGUGUUCCGCACUGUGGAGUGUAGGCUGGGGAGAAUAAAGGACUAAACACUUGUUCCCUAUAGUUGGGGAAGGGAGAUCAUGACUACAUUCAUAGAAGACACUAAUUGAUAUUUGUCAGUUGACACACUGAUAUGUGAGACGUAAUUAGAAAGUGACCUAGGACUGUAUGAUCAAAUGCUGGAUGGUAUGUUACAGGCAGUAAGUGCUGUAGAUUUUUUUCAGGGUCUCUUAACCUUGAUGCCGCAGGUCAAUAUGUGGCUUCUACCAGCUUGUGUCUGCUUAUCAUAGGCUGGGCCACAAAUGAGGAUGAACCAGAAGAGAAUCAGGAAGUGACUGCCCAGCACUCAGAGUAGUUUCCCUGCUACAUAAUCAACGUGCUUGCCACGGACUGAGAAAUACAUUCGGAACGCGUGCCCGUCCUGCCUUUUCAGCAGCUGCGUCUCAGAAGAAGGUGAGCGAAAAUUGACCUGGAGCAGCCUGGAGGUUGCAAGCUUUGCUGAACCCUGGGAAAUAUAUAUGGGACCAGAGCUGUCUGUGCAUUCUGCUGUCCAAGGUCAAGAGAACUGUUGUCACAGAUUACUUUUUUAUGAGUUCUCACUGAAAAAAGGCAUAAUGGGCUACCAAAGGCAAAUGUGCUUCUCAUGAAGAAGACCAAUGCUAGUAAAUUUUCUUGCUCCCUAAACAGCUGCAGCUCCAGCAGCUUCACCAAGAAGACAUCAUGGCCUGCGCCAGGAUCGCAAGUAGCUGUACUCAGGAGAGGGCAGCUGGCUGGAGCUCAGAUGAGAUGUAAUCAUUACCAGUUUCUGAAGAAAGAUUUGAAAACUUUACAUCAAACUAGAGGUUAUGAUGGCUCACCCUUCCACAAGUCCCAUUUGCAGUGACUUCACUCCGUCUUAUGCAGCAAGCAAUGUGCAGCUUCUUGGUGAAGUUUAAGUCAGUGUUUCUCCUCACUUAAUGGUACAAAAUUUCAGUUGACUUUUGUUGUAGCUUUCCAUACGUUUACUUCUUGACUCACCAAUCUAAUUUGAUACAUAAGACACAAUGUCUUCAGAGCAGCCUAUGCAGUUUUGCACACAACACUCUCAUACUAAAUAUCUUUGCUUGACCAACAUAUGGAGUUUUAGCUUUUUAGAUGACAGUGAGACAUUUCCUACUGAUUAAAUAUCACCUAAUAGAGAGUCCAUAUUCACAUAGUUCCAAUUGCACACAAAAAGUUCUUUAUUGCAGUUUUCAGCUGGUUUUUACCUCUGAACCUCUGAGACAAGAGUUUCUUAUAUUCCCAUUUGCUGGAUCACAAUUUUCUUUGUUUUUUUUUUUUCCUUUCCUUUUCUUUUUUUUUUUGGUAAGGAAGAUAUGCC